AUUGAACGCUGGCGGCAUGCCUUACACAUGCAAGUCGAACGGCAGCACGGGGCAACCUGGUGGCGAGUGGCGAACGGGUGAGUAAUGCAUCGGAACGUACCUUUCAGUGGGGGAUAACGUAGCGAAAGUUACGCUAAUACCGCAUAUUCUGUGAGCAGGAAAGCAGGGGAUCGCAAGACCUUGCGCUGAUUGAGCGGCCGAUGUCAGAUUAGCUAGUUGGUGAGGUAAAGGCUCACCAAGGCGACGAUCUGUAGCGGGUCUGAGAGGAUGAGCGGCCAAACUGGAACUGAGACACGGUCCAGACUCCUACGGGAGGCAGCAGUGGGGAAUUUUGGACAAUGGGGGCAACCCUGAUCCAGCCAUGCCGCGUGAGUGAAGAAGGCCUUCGGGUUGUAAAGCUCUUUCGGCCGGGAAGAAAUCGCACGGGCUAAUACCCUGUGUGGAUGACGGUACCGGAAUAAGAAGCACCGGCUAACUACGUGCCAGCCGCCGCCGUAAUAC
rnacentral:rRNA from 1 species